rnacentral:miRNA from 1 species
AAUUCUCUGGGCAUGGUAGCACUCCUGUAUUCUUGGCACUUGGGAGGCUGAGGCAGGAGGAU